AUUGAACGCUGGCGGCAUGCCUUACACAUGCAAGUCGAACGGUAACAGGUCUUCGGAUGCUGACGAGUGGCGAACGGGUGAGUAAUACAUCGGAACGUGCCUAGUAGUGGGGGAUAACUACUCGAAAGAGUGGCUAAUACCGCAUGAGAUCUACGGAUGAAAGCAGGGGAUCGCAAGACCUUGUGCUACUAGAGCGGCCGAUGGCAGAUUAGGUAGUCGGUGGGAUAAAAGCUUACCAAGCCGACGAUCUGUGGCUGGUCUGAGAGGACGAUCAGCCACACUGGGACUGAGACACGGCCCAGACUCCUACGGGAGGCAGAAGUGGGGAAUUUUGGACAAUGGGCGCAAGCCUGAUCCAGCAAUGCCGCGUGCAGGAUGAAGGCCUUCGGGUUGUAAACUGCUUUUGUACGGAACGAAAAGCCCUGGGUUAAUACCCUGGGGUCAUGACGGUACCGUAAGAAUAAGCACCGGCUAACUACGUGCCAGCAGCCGCGGUAA
rnacentral:rRNA from 1 species